rnacentral:lncRNA from 1 species
UUUGCCUCUGAGUGGAUAUCAACAGGAAAUAGUUCCUGUAUCAUCAACAGAACAAGCAGCUGGACUGAGGAAACAAAAACACAAAGUCCAAAAUAGUGAUAUUGGCAGGGUAGACAUUACACGCAGGAUACCGGAAGGCCAGUCAGACCAUGAGGGCUUAUGCUGCAACCCCUAAGGGUAUAACCAGGAGUUGCGAAGUGGUCGUAGUUGUUCAUGUCUCAAUCUGGAUCAUCUUUGCUUUUUGCUUCUGCUUUGUGCUAUCCCUCUUCCCGUACCUCAGUUCUAUCUGGAACCAUGAUCUGUGACUGCCAUGGAAAAGUGUUGGGCAGGAGGAGGCCAGCUGGGUCUUUGAAGUUGACAAUGGAGCCAGGAAUGAAAGCUGCACUUAGGAUGAGAAUUGCUUUCCCUGGAGCCAAGUCAGCAAAUGCAGUCUGGUUGUCAGAGCUGAGAGGCUUCACCAAGUCAAGUAGGGGAGGACAUCUUCACUCUGCAACUUGCCCUACUGAAUGCAGAAAGUACUGUCUACUUAGAUAAAGCCUACACUAAAAGGGAAUUGAAUCUCUGCAAAUAAGUAUGUGGAUCUAAUUUCUACCUUCCAGAUUAAAAGUAUAAU